rnacentral:lncRNA from 1 species
CAACAAGUUUAAAUACAACAAUAUAAGGAUAUAUCAUGAUUGAAGAGUAUGAAUAAUGGGCUUGCUAUAAUUCAUCAAUAUAAUUGAGAACUAGCACGAACAAAUUUUUGACUGAACAAGUUUUAUACAUGAACAAACAUUUCUGAACCAACUGGUAAUGAAGGUGAUCAGCGUUUCAUACCUGACUUAUACAUGCAAGAUGUACAGAGUAUAAUUUUCAUGGCAAUCAGCAAAGAUUAACCAUAAGCUUAAAUAAAACACUCUUAUUAGAGUUAAGUAAGAACAAACUUGCCUGAACCGUUGAUUACCGCAACGCAAUUUAUAACGCUUUAUCCGAAGACCUAAUAUUAAUA